rnacentral:rRNA from 1 species
GAUGAACGCUGGCGGCGUGCCUAAUACAUGCAAGUCGAGCGAACGGACGAGAAGCUUGCUUCUCUGAUGUUAGCGGCGGACGGGUGAGUAACACGUGGAUAACCUACCUAUAAGACUGGGAUAACUUCGGGAAACCGGAGCUAAUACCGGAUAAUAUUUUGAACCGCAUGGUUCAAAAGUGAAAGACGGUCUUGCUGUCACUUAUAGAUGGAUCCGCGCUGCAUUAGCUAGUUGGUAAGGUAACGGCUUACCAAGGCAACGAUGCAUAGCCGACCUGAGAGUGUGACCGGCCACACUGUAACUGGGACACGGUCCAGACUCCUACGGGAGGCAGCAGUAGGGAAUCUUCCGCAAUGGGCGAAAGCCUGACGGAGCAACGCCGCGUGAGUGAUGAAGGUCUUCGGAUCGUAAAACUCUGUUAUUAGGGAAGAACAUAUGUGUAAGUAUCUGUGCACAUCUUGACGGUACCUAAUCAGAAAGCCCCGUCUAACUACGUG